GACGAACGCUGGCGGCGUGCUUAACACAUGCAAGUCGAACGAUGAACCCGGAGCUUGCUCCGGCGGAUUAGUGGCGAACGGGUGAGUAACACGUGAGUAACCCGCCCUUGACUCUGGGAUAACUGCUAGAAAUGGUAGCUAAUACCGGAUACGACCCUCGGUGGCAUCACCAGGGGGUGGAAAGAAUUUCGGUCAAGGAUGGACUCGCGGCCUAUCAGCUUGUUGGUGGGGUAAUGGCCUACCAAGGCGACGACGGGUAGCCGGCCUGAGAGGGUGACCGGUCACACUGGGACUGAGACGCGGCCCAGACUCCUACGGGAGGCAGCAGUGGGGAAUAUUGCACAAUGGGCGAAAGCCUGAUGCAGCGACGCCGCGUGAGGGAUGAAGGUCUUCGGAUUGUAAACCUCUUUCAGUAGGGACGAAGCGAAAGUGACGGUACCUAAAGAAGAAGCACCGGCUAACUACGUGCCAGCCGCCGCUGUAA
rnacentral:rRNA from 1 species